AUGACGUCAAGUCCUCAUGGCCUUUAUGACCAGGGCUACACACGUACUACAAUGGCAGGUACAAAGGGCAGCCACUUAGCGAUAAGGCGCGAAUCCCGUAAAACCUGUCUCAGUCCGGAUUGGAGUCUGCAACUCGACUCCAUGAAGUUGGAAUCGCUAGUAAUCGCAGAUCAGCACGCUGCGGUGAAUAACGUUCCCGGGCCUU
rnacentral:rRNA from 1 species